CUAGUAUUAAAGACGGGAGCUAAGGCACCUGGCUUAUUUUUUUUUUUCCCUGCUCCUUUUAAAACUUCAGGAAAAUGAUUGAAUGUUGGAGAAGAAUCUAGGUGUUGAGUAUACACUUACAUAUUCCUACAGCUUCUCAGGGUCCUGUGGACAAUGAUUGAGGAAAUAAAUUUGCAGGACACAGGC
rnacentral:snoRNA from 1 species